rnacentral:lncRNA from 1 species
UAAAAAAGUAAUUAGAUAUCAGUGUUUGCUAUUGAGUAUUUAUAUUCCAUUAAAAAUUAGUUUGGAGAUCAGUGAAAUAACGGAUACGCCUUUCAUUAGGAAAAUGUGUAGUACUAUAAUUACCUAUGUAAAUAAAUGUAAACACGCCAAGUUUACUUUAUAAUAAAUAUAUAUCUAAAUUCUUUCGAAAGACAAUGUUCAGAUCCGUGUUAACGUUGCUUUUCAUAAAUUGUUGGUUUAAAAAAAAACAAAAAAAAACGGGUGAUAUAUAGAGACGAAACCGGGUGAUUGGUAGUAAACAACAAUGACGAAACCGG